rnacentral:rRNA from 1 species
GAUGAACGCUAGCUACAGGCUUAACACAUGCAAGUCGAGGGACCGGCGCACGGGUGAGUAACACGUAUCCAACCUGCCCUUUACUCGGGGAUAGCCUUUCGAAAGAAAGAUUAAUACCCGAUAUAAAGGAUGGGGAUGCGUUCCAUUAGGUUGUUGGUGAGGUAACGGCCCACCAAGCCUUCGAUGGAUAGGGGUUCUGAGAGGAAGGUCACCCACAGUGGAACGGAGACACGGUCCAAACGCCUACGGGAGGGAGCAGUGAGGAAGAUGGGUAAAUGGGCGUUAGCCUGAACCAGCCAAGUAGAGUGAAGGAGGAAGGCUUAUGGGUCGUAAACUUCUGUUAUAGAAGAAUAUGUAUUAUAUGAAUAAGGAUCGGCUAAAUCCGUGCCAGCAGCCGCGGUAAUAC